rnacentral:lncRNA from 1 species
CAGGGCCAUUCCUGAGGCAAAAGGAGUUCCCAUCGUGGCUCAGCAGUUAACCCAACUAGCAUCCAAGAGGAUGUGGGUUUGAUUCCUGGCCUCGAUCAGUGGUUAGGGGUUCCAGUGUUGCUGUGAGCUGUCGUAUAGGUAGCAGACAAGGCUCAAAUCCCACCUGGUUGACCAUGGGGUUAAGUCUGAGAACCACCUGCUCCCUCAAACACACACCCUCAGUAAUGCUUUACCAAGACAUUCAAGGAGAGGCCAGACCCCAAAGUACCAGCACCAGCAGCACCACAGCAGGGCUGGUGCCGCCAGGGGAAGAGGAGGCCAUGAACUGUUAGGUAUCCAAAAAUAAUGAUAAUAAUAAUAGAAAUGGCAAACCCUUAACCACAAGCCAGGUCUUUGGGCUACUCUAAGUUUGGCCUUUAUAACAGACUCACCCUUUUUCUCACUCACCUGUACUCUAAUGGACUUUCAAGGGAAAGUGCUCCCUUAAUUUUUUUUAAUGGAUUUAAGUCCAUCUGCUCAAAGUCAGGUUUGAUAUCAAAUCAAAAUCCACAGAAAUAAAAUAGCAAAUGCAUUAAGUAAGCUAUAAUUUUAGGAGUCGCUUUAACACAAGCAAUGAAAGCCAGCAGUUAUCUAGAUAUCUGCUCUCAAAUAUUAAGCAUCUUCUUUCUUAACCACCUAUAUAGUCUUUGGAGAACUGUGACAAAGUGAGGGAGGUUUUAAAAAUGAAGGGAACAGGCACCACGCAAAUCUAAGCAUCACAAAGGGGGGGAUUUUUGUCCACUUAUGUCACCUAAGCACCUAGAACACAGCCUCAUUUACAAAAGGUGCUGAUAAAGAAAUGUGAUUCUGUAAAAUCACUUUUUUGCUGGAAAGUACUUAUCCAAAUUAAAAGAGCCAGCCUAGAGAGGAAUCUGUAAUCAGAAGCAAUGCAAGAUGCUUCAAAACAGCUGCAAGGACCUAAGGCUUUAGUUAUUAGCUUUUAAGUUUUUCACAAUGUCUUAACUCCCAAAGAGUAAAAGCAACCAAACUGGGCAGCUUGUCCCUGGUGAGAGGGAGGAAGUCGAGUGCCUUCUUGGGAAUGGAGUGCUGCCAUGAGAACCAGCGACGACACCCUCACCCUGGGUCCCCCCCCCCGGGUCCCCCCAUCACCCAGAGCAAGUCCACGCCCAGAAGCAAUGGCCUCCUGCUAGAAGGAAACUCAGAAGACCAGCUGGCCCAUUCCCUACUUAUGGCAGACCGGGAACUCACAGCCGCCAGGCAAAACGCUUGCCUAAGCAAGGCUCAGCCCCCUUAGAUGUCAGUUCCCUGCCAGCCUGGAGGGACAGCAGAUGGGCUCAGGCGGAAACCCACCCACCUCUCCCAGAGCAGCACGCUUUCUAGCUCACGAACUCAGGCACCUCACCAGGUGCUGUGCGUGCUCAGUGCCCAGUUUCUAGAGCAUCUACACAGCUGAUGCCGAGAGCUGCCUUGCACCUCCGCCUCUGCCCCACUCACGCCCCCUCCUUGGUGGGGUUCUCUAAGGUAGGAAGGACGCCAGGAGCCACAAGUGUGAGCACCCUGCCAAGGCACGAGGAAGGCUGAGCCAACCUUCGGCUUCACCGCCCUUCCCUGAGCAGGAACGAGACAGAUAAAAAGCAUGAGGACAAGUGCUACCGCGUUAGGACUUUAUGAAACUGCUCAUUUCGGCCAUUUUUAAUCUUUAAAAAAAAAUAGCAAUUCCAUAUCAACCUAGUACAAAUGUUACAGCUUCUUUGUUUCACUCUUCAGGGAUCCAUAAAAAUAACAGAGUGAACUGUUAGCAAGCACAGAGAAUGCCAAGACCCCAUGUGUGGAAUUAUUUCAGUCUUACCAAGGUAGGUUCUCUGUGUGCUUCUUUACCGACCGACCGACCAAUGGUAUCCUGACGGUUCAGAAGCGUCAUGAAUUAGGAAAUAUCCAAUCAAUGCCGGAUACAAACAAGCGAGAAGAGGGCGGGGGCGGGGUGUGUGUGUGCAAAUGCACUUUAAAGAUGCAGCCUGUGGACACCCCACCUACACACACCCUCACGUCUCCCCCUUAACUGCUCCCAAGGAUGUACAAAAUGCAGUCCUUUCACAAGCUUUUAGAAAGUUUUUUUUUAUUGGUUACAACGAUAUAAAAUGCAUCCUCUGAAUUCCCCCUAGUCAUUAAGUGCUUGCUAGCAACAGCAUAAGAAAACUUUCUGUACAUCUGACAAGCUCGCUCAAGUGAUUUAUUUCAUGCUGGAAGGGGAAAAAAUAGCACACAGCACUCUUAACUUGUCUGUCUACAAUUAACCUCUUUUCCUCUCUCUCAAGUCUACAUUGGUUAAAAUCAACGGACAACCCCUUUUGUAUGUCAAUUUGUAAAUUUUAAUGUUUUCAUUAGAAUAGUCUUUUAUAUCACUCUCCGACAAGAAACAAUAAAAUAACUAACAGCAAACUUCAAUACAGGAACACUCUCCAGAUUAACAGCUCAAACAAGAAUGUAAAAUGUAAAUCACAUAUAAUACAAUUGAAGCGUCCAAAACAAUUUAAAUAAUUUUAAAUAUUUUAUUUUUAAAUGGCUACAAAUGUUUUUUAUACAAUAUUUCAACAUAAAGUCCCCAUAACAGAAAUGUAACAAAAUGGGAAUGAUAGUGAAAAGGUUAAAGUGGCACAAAUUCACCAAACAAGUAUUAAACUACAAAUUUUAAGAGGUAGAUUACUUUUAGAGUUGAGAACCAAAAAAAAAAAAAAAAAAAACCAACAACAACAACAAAAAAAACACAUCACGACAUGAAUAAAACCUAGCCAUUUUCCACUGACUCAGUCAUUACUUAGGGGAAGGCAUAUAAUGCAUGGAGAAAUUAAACAUAUACUCAGGAAUAGGCCAAUUUGUCUUUUUUUUUUUUUUUUUUUUUUUUUAAUCUCUAUUAGAGACGGAGGUGUAAAACCUGCUAUGUAGAUCCCUUUACACUUACGUGUAGACAAACACCUACACGGGCCUGUGAUACAUGCCGGGCACUGAUGUACUGCUGCCACCUCCAAUAAGAUAGCAGUUAGAAAUUAGUGCCAGAUAAUAACCUGAGAGGAUCAUGUCCAUUUGGAUAUAUAAACAUGACACUGGAAGAGGCAUUAGAAAAAGUCCAUACGCAAUCUGGUUUCCUCUCCAUUAUGCUGGCAAUCUGCUUGGGAUAAAACAACAACAAACAAGAACAACAACAGCAAAAAAAAAAAAAAAAAA